rnacentral:lncRNA from 1 species
GAGCUCAGGACCCCAAACUCUUACAGCUGCCACCUUUUCCUCGGGCGCUCGACCCAACGGGGGGCUGCGGGGUGCGGAGCCAUCGGGGCCAUAGGGGGGAUCGGGGACACGAGUCCUGGCACAGCCCUCGUGACGCACAGAGAGCAGAGGGGCUGCACUUCUCCCAUCCAACCCCACUCCAACGUUGACCCUUCGGAGAGACGAGCUCCUUUUUAGGGCCAAAGCACCCACGCUCAACGGGUGGCCCCCAUCCCUCAACACCAAACGGCUCAACGCCGCCGCCACGUCUUCGCCGCUCAGAUCCCCGAUGCUGACGGAUUUGGACCGGCUCAAAUUGCUCCUCCUCCUUUCUGUUCCGAUGGGUAAAGAGAAAGAAGCUCCUCCAGGUGCCGUCCCUGCCUGCGGGGAACCGGGAACCCUCACCCCGUGGUCCGCUUUUAGGGGUCCUCGUCGGCAAGCUGAGCCCCGUUUGGUGGCUCGGCCGCGUUCCAGGUCCGAUUUCUUGCUUCGUUCUUCCAAAGUUCCAGGUCUGGGAGGGAGGAGGCGAAGUUUUGGGGCUGGAGAAAGCCCGUUUGGGGUAGAGGUGAAAGAAUGACGUUCUUGGCUCAAAGCCCGGCCCGGCAGUUUAGAUGCAGCUUUGGGUUGAGUGGUGACGACGGAUGUCGGAUCGCGGGCACGACCCAAACGAUGCUCUGAUGCUUGAGGCAUGGCUGGGAGGAGCCUGGAGGGGGGGAGAUGGAGGGCGCUGGGGGGAGGGGGGCUGUGCCCACCUCAGUGCCCCCCGAGGAGCUCGGCCGGGUGGAGCAUCCCAUCGGCGGGGGCCCUAUGGCACAAUGAGAGGGGAUGGUGAGCCAUAGGGCCACACAUCCCAGCUGGUUCUGUGCCCUGGGACCUGUCCUCCCCGUCCUCCCCCCAUCCCACGGCCCUCGCUGCCUCCUGAUGGUGGCACCAUUCCGUGUUCCAUGCUGGUGUUGGCCUCAAUCAAUGGUGGCACCAGUCCGUCUUCCAUCUCAGCAUCGUCAUCCCCAAGCAAUGGUGGCAUCGUCUCCCCAUUUAUUGCUGACCCCACUCCGUGUCCCAACUCAUCCCCAACCAAUGGUGACCCCAUUCUGUGCCCCACCAGAGCACUUUCCCCACUAAAUGAUGCCACCGUCCCCAACCAAUGGUGGCACCAUUUUGUGUCCCAUCUCAGCACCAUCCCCACUUAAUGGUGACCCCAUUCUGUCUCCCACCUGGGUGUUGAACCCCAACCAAUGCUGGCAUUGUCCCCACUUAAUGGUGACCCCACUCCAUGUCCCAUCUCAACACCACCCCCAACCAACACAGACCCCCUCUUUGUGCCACCCCCUGCCCCUCACCCCCUUCCCAACCCUUUCCCCACCCCAUAACCCCAC